rnacentral:rRNA from 1 species
AGAGUUUGAUCCUGGCUCAGGAUGAACGCUGGCGGCGUGCCUAACACAUGCAAGUCGAACGAAGCUUGACGGAUGAUUUCUUCGGAAUGAAACCAGAUAUGACUUAGUGGCGGACGGGUGAGUAACACGUGAGCAACCUGCCUUUCAGAGGGGGAUAACGGCUGGAAACGGUCGCUAAUACCGCAUGAAGUGUUCGGAUGGCAUCAUCUGAACAUCAAAGAUUUAUCGCUGAAAGAUGGGCUCGCGUCUGAUUAGAUAGUUGGUGGGGUAACGGCCUACCAAGUCUACGAUCAGUAGCCGGACUGAGAGGUUGAACGGCCACAUUGGGACUGAGAUACGGCCCAGACUCCUACGGGAGGCAGCAGUGGGGAAUAUUGGGCAAUGGGCGCAAGCCUGACCCAGCAACGCCGCGUGAAGGAAGAAGGCUUUCGGGUUGUAAACUUCUUUUAAGAGGGAAGAGCAGAAGACGGUACCUCUAGAAUAAGCCACGGCUAACUACGUGCCAGCAGCCGCGGUAAUACGUAGGUGGCAAGCGUUGUCCGGAUUUACUGGGUGUAAAGGGCGUGCAGCCGGGAAUGCAAGUCAGAUGUGAAAUCCAUGGGCUUAACCCAUGAACUGCAUUUGAAACUGUAUUUCUUGAGUACUGGAGAGGCAAUCGGAAUUCCUAGUGUAGCGGUGAAAUGCGUAGAUAUUAGGAGGAACACCAGUGGCGAAGGCGGAUUGCUGGACGAUAACUGACGGUGAGGCGCGAAAGUGUGGGGAGCAAACAGGAUUAGAUACCCUGGUAGUCCACACUGUAAACGAUGAAUACUAGGUGUGCGGGGACUGACCCCCUGCGUGCCGCAGUUAACACAAUAAGUAUUCCACCUGGGGAGUACGAUCGCAAGGUUGAAACUCAAAGGAAUUGACGGGGGCCCGCACAAGCGGUGGAUUAUGUGGUUUAAUUCGAAGCAACGCGAAGAACCUUACCAGGGUUUGACAUCCUGCUAACGAAGUAGAGAUACAUUAGGUGCCCUUCGGGGAAAGCAGAGACAGGUGGUGCAUGGUUGUCGUCAGCUCGUGUCGUGAGAUGUUGGGUUAAGUCCCGCAACGAGCGCAACC